rnacentral:rRNA from 1 species
GAUGAACGCUGGCGGCGUGCCUAAUACAUGCAAGUCGAGCGAACGGACGAGAAGCUUGCUUCUCUGAUGUUAGCGGCGGACGGGUGAGUAACACGUGGAUAACCUACCUAUAAGACUGGGAUAACUUCGGGAAACCGGAGCUAAUACCGGAUGAUAUUUUGAACCGCAUGGUUCAAAAGUGAAAGACGGUCUUGCUGUCACUUAUAGAUGGAUCCGCGCUGCAUUAGCUAGUUGGUAAGGUAACGGCUUACCAAGGCAACGAUGCAUAGCCGACCUGAGAGGGUGAUCGGCCACACUGGAACUGAGACACGGUCCAGACUCCUACGGGAGGCAGCAGUAGGGAAUCUUCCGCAAUGGGCGAAAGCCUGACGGAGCAACGCCGCGUGAGUGAUGAAGGUCUUCGGAUCGUAAAACUCUGUUAUUAGGGAAGAACAUAUGUGUAAGUAACUGUGCACAUCUUGACGGUACCGAAUCAGAAAGCCACGGCUAACUACGUG